UUACUGGGCGUAAAGGGCUCGUAGGUGGUGUGUCGCGUCGUCUGUGUAAUCCAGGGGCUUAACUUUUGGUUGGCAGGCGAUACGGGCAUUGCUUGAGUGCUGUAGGGGAGACUGGAAUUCCUGGUGUAGCGGUGAAAUGCGCAGAUAUCAGGAGGAACACCGAUGGCGAAGGCAGGUCUCUGGGCAGUUACUGACGCUGAGGAGCGAGAGCAUGGGUAGCGAACAGGAUUAGAUACCCUGGUAGUCAAGGGCG
rnacentral:rRNA from 1 species